GAAAUCCAAUUAAUUCGGACUCCCUGCUACUAAGAGGGGAGGGGGGGGAAAAAAAGUCCAGCGGCUCCUAAUCCCUCCCUUUAAGGCUGCACCUCAAAUCCGCCCGGGCGUCUUUCUCCUCGGAUUAUUCAAACCUCGAUUUGCUCACUCUCCCUUGGACUCAACCCUCGCACACCCCCUGCGCGAGGCAGCUCCUCAAUGGAUACAAACAGCGAGCGUCUCAAUGGAUACAUUCUCCCGGCCAGCCAAUGAGCGCGCUGCGGAAGGGGCUGUUGCCGUGGGGACGGGCCGGCUGGAACAGGUUGUGUUGAUGAAUUGUUAAUGAGUUUGUCAUUCACAAAAACGGAAAGGAAUUUCCGCUCCGGAUAAGCCCCAGUGCAAACAAGCUGCAACAGCGGGCUCGGCGGGAGGAAGGAGAAAGAAGAGGAGGCGGCGGCGGAGGAGGAGCGGGGCGCAUAAACCAGGGCACUUCAGUUGUCUCAUGUUUCCUUCUGUUGAGAGUUCACACUUCGCGUCGGAACUUUUGCGCACAAAUGGUGCAAUUAGCAGGCACAAAAGCCCUUGUUCGUGACGCCUGUGCUCGCAAGCUAGCUUUAAGAAAACUUGUGCUUUUUUCCUUUUUAUUCCCUUUAAACUCAUUUGGACAGGAGUUCGCCUUAACCCCCCUCCUCCGCCCUCCUUUAGGCGGUGUGUGGCAUUUGUUUGCCAGUUUAAAAAGCCCAACUCUGUUUGCUCUGAUGUUCUUUUAGCUGAGGCUGUGUUGGGGCUGGUGAACUGCCUGGGCUUUAGUGACCGAUGAGGUGUUAAAUGCUAAUCCAACAUCUUUCGAAACAAACUUAGGAUUUUGUUGGAACAUUUUAAAGCAAGCAAGCAAACAAACAAGUGCCUGGUUGUCCAAAUAAUAGGAAGAAAUGUUGUAGGGGGAUAUUUUAAUAGCAUUUAAAUUACUUUAUUUUGUUUUUAAACAGUGGAGCCUGCAGAAACAAACUGGUUGGACAGUUCGAUGCUUUUAUUCCCCUCCAGCGGCCUGGGGCGUUAUGAGCCAUUGUUCCGGGGAUCUAACCCCCCCCCCCUUCCUGCGGUCACCCACCGCGCUAGGGGGUUGCGCUCGUUAAUCAUUUCUGGGCAGCUAGCUCGGCUUCCGACAGAGGAGCCGGUCUGGCGCGGUUGCCUGGGUUAGAUACAGUUAGGGCGCGCGGAGCCAAGCGGGCUGUCCCCACCAGCGGCGAGUCGUGGGGGAAUCCUACAGCAAGGCCUGCGGGGGCUCAGUCAGGCUCGGCAAUCGGUUACGGUAGACUAGAGAGACCCGUCAGAGGGGAACCUUAGGUCUCACCCCGACAACCCCCUCGUGUGCCGGUCGCAGGGCACUAGCGAGCACCAGCUGCGCCUGCGCGUUACGCUCCAUGCCAGUACCCGGCCGCCCUCGCCUCCUGCGUCAACUGGCUCCGGGCGAAGGGCUACCCGAGGUCGGGUGGGACGCCGAAAGUGGGCCUCUGGGGUUCCGACGCGGCCUGGGGUGGGUGAGAGGCGAGGAGGAGUGCCUGCCGGGACCCCUUGCUCCCAAGGAGGGCUGGGAGUCGCGGGGAACGUCUCUGCCGCUCAGCAGUCACCCGCCUCUUCCAUGGUUUGGGGAAUGUAGGCUAAAAAAAGGCGGCUGAGAGGCCCAGGCUGCCAAUUUUGGAGCUGUGCUGCAAGCAAGCCGCCCCUGGAGGAGCGUGUUCACCGAAGGUGGGGGUUGCCGCGCGCUCUCCCCGCGCCUUUUUUGGGCAUGCUUUGGAACAAAAUUCCCAUAUUUCACUGGGUAUCAUCUGGUUCCAGCUGGAGGAGGCCUGCGCUGCAGUUGAAACCUCUGAUCCACCCCCACGUGUAACAGCCAUUCUCACCCCAGAAAGGUUCAGUCACUGGGUCCUGGGGGCGAGGCAGGACGCUCCCCAGUGGAACUGCGAAGCGCAAAAUCUUUCAGCCCGGGGUCUCCGACACGAGACAGGGAGAGAAAUCGGUGGUUACUUCGCUGUUUGUAAAAGUGCACUACCUGAGCCUGGACAUGACUUUGGGAGGAUACUCACAACCCUUCUCAAACCUGAAGAUAGACGCAUUUGGUCUGACCCAUGCUUCUGAACCCUACAGCAACGGAAUGUCUGUUCUUCUCGGCCCUUGUUAGAAAAUGACAUUCGGACCACUCGGUUCUAGAAAGAGCGACAUCAAGGGUUGCAGCCAGGGAUAAAAUUGUGCCCCUAUCACUUCCUAAACGUGUGUCCUUGGUUAAGUCAUCUCUUGUAAACCUCAUCUUCCAUGCGACAGAAUGAAGAUAAUAAAAAUACCCGCUUCAUAGGCUCUCUGAGAUGAUUAAAUGGGUGAAGCGCCCUAGCAUGA